AUACUGUACACAGCAAUUGAUCAUAAACUGACGAUAUAAUCACUCAACCACGGUCAAAGUCAACUUCACGACGUCUGAGGUACCGACGUGGUAUUUAUCAUGGAGGGUGUUUGUGGAGGGGCAAAGAAUAUACCGCGAAACUUUUAAUGAAAACAUAUUCAGAGGAUUUAAUCGUUACCUUGAACAAGAAAAUGGAUACUCAUAGAAAAACAUUUGAGAAGAUACAGCAAACACUUUAGCAAACUCAGAUAAAAGCGUCGCUUUCCCAACAAAAAGCAUAAUAUCAAAGUCGCAAUUGCUUUGAGAUUAUAUUCAAUCGUAUAAUUAACAUUUAAAUGUACACACUUGUUGAAGUGUAAUUAACGUUUAACAUCAACAACAUCCCUCAUUGUAUGAGCAAUGUAAACUUUCUGUUUUAUUUAUUUAUACUACACAACAUUUAUUAAUAAUCACCCAGCUAUAUGUCACAAUAACUCAAACACAAUCUAUUUAAAUUGAAAAUUAUGUGAAUCAUAUAAUAUAUUCUCUUCUCAAUUCCUUUGUAUCAAUAAAUGCAUUAGCAGUUAUUUUAUGAUA